UUUGGUGUAGCUUAGUGGUAGAGCACUUUCCUAGCAUGGAGGAGGCCCUGGGUUCAAUUCCCAGCAUCACAA